ensembl:lncRNA
CCUCCUCUUCCUCUUUCUUCUCCUCCUUCUUUUCUUCCUCCUCCUCUUUCCCCUCCCCCUCAGCCUUCGCCUCCUCCUCUACCAGCACCACUCCCUCUGGGGCACCAGGGUCCCUGCAGAUUCCCCGGGCCUGGCCGCCUGCCUCCACGCGGGCCCCGGGACCCGAGCCCGCUGCGCCGGAGCUGGUAGGACACACGGACAGACAGACGCGGAGAUUCCUCUCGCUCGCCGCUCUGCCACUGCUGCCCUCCGCGGCCCGCGUCGGUGGAGCCGAGAUCGCCCGGGGGUUCUGCGCGGCCUCCCGCUUUUUCUGUCUGAGAGGGUGCUCGCCUUGUUCCCUAAAACAAUUCCUCGUGGGCCACUGGGAUCCAGGCUCCUAGGACAAGGGAGAAGCUGAUGCGGGCUGGGUUGCAGUGCAAAUCCAGGACUCUCAACUAGAGACUGCAGAUCGCGUCUCCAGUUCCAGGCCGUGUCCGCAUUUUCGAGCUCGCCUUCAGUUUUGGGAUGAUUUUAGGGCCGAGUUCUCGGUCCCCAUUGGCUCGUGCUGUGGCAUAAUUAUGAUCACAUCCCCCAGGCUGCUGGCGCUGCUCUCUGUUUAUUGGUGGUUAAAGAUCUAUUAUCUAUUCAUCAGCCGCCUCUUUUUUCCUCUCCCCCUCCCUUUUGCCAAUUACAUUCUUAUAAAGUGAAGUACCAGCAGGUAUUUUGCAAUUAAUAAUAAAAAAUGCUGGCGUCUUUUAAAUCUAUUACAACCAGGCCUGGGUCAUUUAUUUUAAGGAGGAAGAAAUGCCUGUGUUUCCUGGCUAGGUUGCUGUGAGACCUGGGAGAAGUCUAUCAGGAGAAGUACAGACCCCAAAAGGGAAGCCGCAACUCCACCAGAUUCAACCAAGGAUCAGGAGUCCUAGGACAUGCUCCAGGGUCCCCCAGCUUCUCCAUUCCUUGCCCUCUGGUCUUCUCUUUACCUCCGCUGGUCUCAUCCACUGCUAUGUAUUUGGUUCUACCAAUUUCUUGACUUUAUUCCAGGUACUGUACUGUGUUGUGUGGAGGAGGGGGAAAUGACCAGAAACAUCCUUGAGAAACCUUCCAGACAAAAGAGAAGUUGGGAGAGGUGCUUUCUGGUGUUGUUGGAGUUCCAAAUAGAUUAGCUGGGAGCUCCAGAGAUCACCUGUCUUGUACCCCUCGAUCUUUUCAGGGCACAUAAGCAUGCGGGUGCACACACACACACACACACACACACACACACAUUUACUCUGGGGAUCCUUGUGGUCCUCAGCUUUGGCCUCACUGUGGGAUAAACUGGCUGCUGCCUCAGGCUUUGGACCUCUGCACCAUGGCUCCAGGCUGGGGCCCUGCCUGAGUUCUCCCUCUUUGUUCCAGGUGGCCAUGCUUUGGACCUUUUUUUCCACACUCAGAUUCUGAGCAUUGGGUCCAGCACCUUGGCAUGCAGGUGAACCCAAAGACUACUCUCCUCAGGCCUGGACCGUCAUCCCCCAAAAUACUUUCUCCGGGCCCGGCAGGCAGUACCCCUGACUAGGCUGUGGAGACAGAGGCACCACUUGCCUGCGCCAGCAAGGAGCCUUGAAGUCCCCAUGAAGUGAAGGGUGGAGGUCUUUGGGCCAGCAAGCUCCAGUAGAGGUAGGAGUCAGUCCUAGAGUUUCUGAAGCUGGAAACAAACACCCAGUUUGGGCAGACUGCAACCAGGAUCCUGAGGUAAGAGAGAGAGGCCACUUUUCUGUGUGAUCUUCUGUAGGACUGCAGGGUAGAGCCAGGCUUCAGCAUUCAGCCUCCAGUGCUCCAAACCAAGGCCACUGAAAGCCCGCCCAGAUCAUGGGGCGGGAAAUGGCCAUUUAUUGCAGUUGGCAUUAGCAAUGUUGGCUGGGGGUAUAAAAGUCAUUGACCAAGGGGACUACAGUCCUGGUGAGACCCCAGCAGUGUGUGGUAAGUAAAUGUAGGUAAAAUGUUCAGCACUGGGUCCUUAAGGUGUAACCGGUAGCUUUCACCUCUUUAGCCAGGACACUGGGCAAGUGUUCUAAGGGAGCCAGCUGGUGACCGGGCCUCUCAACCUCUUGUUCUGGGGGAAAAUUUUGGCAGAGCAGAUGAGAGAUGGCUCAAGGGCCAAGUCAGGUCCUGUGGCAUCCUCCACAAGCCACCUACCUCUUGGAAACUGCCCUUCGAAGGCCAGGAUUGCUCCAGGUCUCUGGCUGGUGGGCAGGUGGGAGAGAGCAAGGGAGGUGCCCACCUUUUUGAAGGAGGAAAAGCUAGCCAGUUCUGCUCCAAGCUCAGGGUCUGAGUCCAAGCUCGGGCCCCAGGGCGCUGCUGGGCCCUCCGUGAGUGGACAUUAACUAGCAGAGUAACUCAUUAAUUGCACUGGCCAGAGGAGGCUGGGCGCUCAGGGCUGGACUCAGACCCUGAGCUCUCAGGUCAUGGGCCUGCCGCUUACUUUGCUCAUGGCUUUGGGCCUCUCAGAAUCCGACCCUCUUUUGUUCCUAAGCCAUCCAGAGAGUGGGUAUUUGGUUAAGUAUCUGUGCCUGCAUCGGGGCUUCCUUCCUUCCUUGGUAGACUCAGGAAUCUCGACUCUGCAGGCAGCUGGACCAGCAGACACAUACAAUGGUUCCAUUCCCGGAAUUUUUACUAACUGAAGGAUUUUGGGCAACACCACAACCUCUCCGACCUCAUUUUGUCAUGUGCAGAAAUACAGCCAAUGCUGCCUGAGAAGCUGGAGAGGGUAGCAGUGACGCUGUCAGGGAAGGGGAUGAGUAAUCCAAAGUCUCUACUUUCUGAUUUUGAUGCUAUCCACACCACUGUGGUUUUGGAAACUCAGAACUCCAUGAACAGUGCAAAGUGUGAAUUUUACUGUGUGUAAUUACAUCUUAAUAAAACUGCCCCCUCCAAAAAAAAGAGAGACUUGUAUUCACAGAAUUAUUGUGUGACCUUGGUCAGGUUACUUAACCCCUCUGUGCCUCUGUUCUUCUUCCCUCGAAUGGGAAUAAGGACUAGUAUGUCGAUCCUUGGAAUUAUUUAAUGAGAAAAACUAAAGCGUUCAGACAAUGCCUGGCACAUAAUGAUCUUCAGUAAAAGCUCCUGUCCUGGAUGUGGCUGUUAUUGUCUACCCACACAAGGCAAGAUGCUGGUCUUCAAAGACUGAACAAUCAAGUUGUACAAAUGAGUUAACGCCGGUCUGACGCUGCUCCAAGCUCCAGCAGAGGCCCUGAAGUUCCUUUAGGAGGUGCCAGGGUGAGAGGAGCCUGGAGUCCUAGCUCACUGGAGCGACAAAGGGCAGAGAUUCCUGGGGAGCUCUGAGAACCGCUGCUCGCUGCUCGGAGUUUGUCUGGCCCUUACACUUCCGAGGAACAGCCGCCCGAGGGCCCGCUCCCUCUCCCAUUGCUCUGGAGUGGGCCCUGACUGGGGGUGCGUAGGAGUCCUCUGGGUUCAGGGCUGUAUGAUUCCAUUUUCUCCAGCCUUGGCUGUCGCCUCCGUGAAAAGGAAAUAUCAAUAUCUUAAUGGUUGUUGAAUAGGUGAGCUUGGCACACUGUUUGCGCUCAUCACAUUUUAGUUACAGCAUUUGCAACCCGAGCCUUGUGCGCUCUGGCCCAUGAGCACCGCGCCAUACCCAGGUCACCCGGGUUUGGAGUCUCCGGACCAGCCAAAGCUCUGAGUCUUCACUGUGCGUCAGCGGCGCCGCGCGGGAAGCGCCGCUGCCGGCUGCCGGCGAAGGGUGAGCCCUCUCCCGGGUCCAAGGCUGGCAAAAGGUGACCAGAGACGGGGAGGCAAGUUAGGAAGUUCGGUAAUUCACUGUGAUUCCCAGUCACUCCGCUUCUCCAAACUCUUCGGGCGGCUAUGGGAAAAGGAAAAGUAGAAUAAAUACCUUUAAAACAUUUUUUUAAAAUCUUAUUACGGCAAAUCCUUUUCUGGAGCACCACCCAGAGGCCUCGCCCGGCGGAC